UGUGGCAGCCCACAUGAUGCUUUUUUAGGCUUCACAAGCCGCCUCCACCAGGCACAGAACACGGAUGGGAACAACACCGGUACGAGUGCCUGCCGUGGUGUAGCUGGGGAGGAGGAGUGCUGGUUAGGAGGCUGUGGUUUCACUGUGUGCUGGCACAGGGAAACUCACAGCCUGGAUGAAAGGCAGCACGGGCACCACGGAUGGAGACCGUUCAUCCCAUCUGGUUCUGGAAACAGCACAAGUACUGAAGGAAAAUAUGGCAGAACCUGUUCAGUCCAUGCACAGACUGGAGGAAGAGGAAGAAAUGCCCUCCCCUGCUCUCCCACCCUAACAGAGAGCUGUGUUCACCUUCUAACAGACUUCUGCUCAGCAUCACUGCUGAGCUGCUCCUGGACCCCGACAGCCUCUGGGUUAUGGGGAAAAAACAGCAUUUCUGACUUCUGCUUAGAGAUGAGCAGUAAACAGUAGGCAGUGUUUCAGAUGCUUGUCUCUCCUCUUAGCUUCAGGCUCACCGUGAUGCUCAUCUCACCUUCCCGUGCAAGCAGAGCGCAGGGCUCACCUCUGCCAUCUUUUCCAUGCAGUGCAAAGGAAGCUGAGUAAGUGGUGCAUUCUUCUCCCUUCCUCAGGUGGCCGGGUUCUUUGUGACUGCUCUGUCUUCUCAUCCUUCUUCAGAAGGGGCUCGGAUCACCCACGCUACUGAUGCAGCUUCAUCUCCCAGACGAGGUGCUUUGCUGCGCUGUGCUGAACGCACUGCAGACCCCGCUGCCUUGGCAAUGUCUGCCACCGGGACGUGGCUUCCCCUGAAGCUGCCUUUCUGUAAGACCAAGGCAAACUUCAAGUUUAUUGCUCGUUCCAUUCAUAACGAGAAGUUCCCCUGACUUGCCAAGCUGCUGAAUCAGCUCGGGCACCUCACCCUUGAGUCAGCAAAGCCCGAAAUAGAAACUCGCUCUGUUUCCGAGCACAGGAAGCACCGCUGUUGUCUGCAAACACAGCCACAUCCAACAUGGUUUUUUAUAACUCCAGCUCCUCGCUGGAGGAACUUGAAUGACAUCCUUGAAAACAAAACAGAGCAAAACUGUUUUCUUACUUGCAAUGGGGAAGCUCAGAUUGGUAUGAAUGGAGCUGCGCGGGGCAGAAGCACCCAGGAGCAAGCAGAGGGAGGACAAGUGGCAGGCAGGGAGGCCAGCCAGCACCGACCCCCAGCAUGGCUGCAGCUGCUCCAGUUGGUCAGAGCCAGGAACAAGGGACAGCCAGGCCGGAGCAGAGCCCCGGGCCAUUGAGGAGUGGUGGCAGGAGGACAGGGUGGGAGCUGAGAAGCCAAUGGGAGCUCAACGGUGGAGACGUCCAUCCAAGAUGCCCUGAGCAGAGCGGAGUCUUUCCCUACCAGGCCACAACCAUAAAAUAGCUAAAAGCAGUGAACAUGACCAACACUUGCAUUCAAGGGGUGUGGACUUACUUAGCUGUAAAGUCAUCAGCAGGACUUCCGUGAGUAGGUGGCAGGCAGUGAGAAGCCACGUACAGCCAGUCUGUAUGUGCCGCACUGGGGAGGAGUUUCGAUGACUCCAAGUCAGGCCACCGAGAAAUACAAUCCCAGCGUUAAUUCACAUUUUCCAUUCUCGAGAGGCUGAGCUACGUUUUACCUUGCAGAUGCACCAUCAGCCAUUUCCAGCACACCAUAAGAGCCCCGUGGCUCCCACGGCCUCCUUGGGCAACCUGUGUUCACCGCACGGCUUCUGUGGGAAGAUCCAUACGGAUAAGGGAGCAUGGGAAGGACCUCAGAGGACACGUACCCCACAGGCAGCUGGGGGUGGCACUUAGGGCAGGAUUUUCCUGCGUUACUAUGGAAGAAAUGAUAGAGAUUUGAGAAAAAAAAUAUUGUCAUUUCUGCAGUAUUUCCCUAUAACUCAAUUCAGUCGUUUUCUGCCUCCUGCCACAGCGCGGUUGCAACUUGCAGCACGUCCUGCGUUUGAUGCUUUGGGUUAUUCAGCUGAAAAGAGGAGGGGAAGAGAACGUGCAGGCACAAUUACGGCCUUGUGCAAUCCCCUUGUGUACACUGCACGGGUUUGAAGAAAGACCUGCUGCGAGUCCACCGAAAAUCCCAGCUCCGGGCCUGAGUGCUGCAGGGAAUUCCACAGCUCACAGCUCGUGCAACGUGUGCUGUGUGUGCACUCAGCCCUUUUCUGAGCGCAGGUGUCUGAGGAUGAGGGAAUCACGGCUGUGCCGGAAUGGGAACAACACAGCAUUCCCAUCCCCUCGUACAGCCGCUUUGUCCUUCCACUCUCUGAAUGCUGCAGUGUAUUUUAGCUGCAAAUCUGUUCUCCUGUGGCGUGGGUGCCAGAAUCAUGGGGGGAAAGAGAGAGAGAGAUGGAGAGAUCCGUGGCAAUCUUCUAUAUUUAUUUGGCCCAGAAAAGAUAGGAGAGAGGCACCUGCUGGGCUCUGCGCAGGAUUUCAUGGGCUGGCUGGGGUCUUCUGGGCACACAGGUGGCCCACGAUGUCCUGUGGGGCAGACAGGUCUAUGUGGCAGUGCUGCAUGCUCUGCCAGCCCACAGCACUUAUUUCUGUGACAGUUUCUACAUGCAGGCAUUCCAUAAGCUUGGAAAGAGCAGGCUUCUACUGUCCUGAAACAGUUUGUGUUUGCUCAUAACUUCACUUCAUUGCAUCUGAAACAGGGACAGCUGUCUCUGCAUCCAUAGAGCAAGGUGGGAAGAAAAUGGUGUUGCAAACACGGAUGCACAGAGCUUUGGUGGAGAUGGAGAUCCUUGAAUGGAUAGCCCUUGUUAGCAGAGGAGGAGCUUCCCUUGACCUUCCCACUCACUGACAGGACUCCAAGGAGAAGCGGGCAGGUGACGGUCACACCUGGACCACGCAAGCAAGAAAUGCACCUCACGUCAGCCCCUGACAUGGAAGCACUCAAUGAAGAAUUCCCCAUUGUUGGGAUUCUCCCUUCCCCUCCUUGAAGCGCCCAGCUCGAACCCCAGGACUGGGCUCAUCGUGCUGGAGGUGCGCUGGGUUCUCACCACAUGUCCCAUCCUGCCUUGUCUCCUCCAUGCAGAGCUUCUGCAGGGCAAGGAAAGCUCCCGGAGUCUUCUGGAUAAGUUGGGAGGGUUCAUCCAUUCAUUAGUGAAAGCUGGACGGAGCUGUCUGAAGGUCUGGAUGUGCAGCAAGGAAGAUAAGCAGAUUUGUUCACACAAUGGAUUCUGAGCUAUCUGAGUGAAAAGGGCAGGAUGUCCUCACUGAGAAAUGCAAUUUAGGAGCCCGACAGCUUGAAAACAGCUGGAAGGGUUUGGGACUUCCUGGGGAGAAAAAAAUCACCUUUGGCUCAAUGAGACGGGGAGGAUUUCAAGCCCACAGUGGAAGUUUUUGGAGAAGGUUGGGACUAAUGAGAAUGGAGGAUUACAGCUUCAACUGUUUUGCAAUCGUUGGCCUCGGUUCUUCAGACACUUUCACACAUGCUUAACUUUAUAUGUGUGGUUAGCUUUGCUGACCUGAAUGGGAUUAUUUACACGUGGUAGAUCUGAGCACAUGCGUAAAUGUUGACAGAGUGGCGUUCAGGGCGUAGCGUUUGUCACCAGAAAGGACACCGUGUCAAGGUCCUGACAUCCCACGGAGAUCCUCCCUGCUGGAAACAAACCCAAAAGCCGGGAAAUCCAGAUUCCUGAGUCCAGCUUAAAUCUGCUCUCAUGUGAAUGGGAUCUUUUGUUGUGCCACGUCAGGGCGCCGUGCCACCGAAUUGAUCUGGCAGCUGUUAAAACACUCACCUUUGUGCGUUCUGACUCUAUAGGAAGAUGCUGCGUGCCUGUAUGUGAAGGAUGCCAGGGCUGGGGGCUGGGAAAGGACACCUGGCCACUGGUGGGGUGUGAGGGGUUCCCUCCCUGGUGGUUCCCCUCCCUGAUAGAAGCAGAGCAUCACAAGUGUUUCCUGGAGCACAGGAGCACGUUCUACCUGCUGUGAUGUGAUCUGCUGAGAGCCUCCGAAACGCCCAUAAAUCACCUCUGCAAGCUGCGCCUCCAACAUUUAUCAGCUUGUGUCUGUCUGCAAGCCAAAGUGCCAUUAGGCUGACUCAUAUUUUGGCAUUUUGUGUUUGUAUACAACAGGACCAUGUUUGCAAGCAAUGGGGAAAAAAAAAAGAAAACACAAGGAAA